AUCAAAAUCCAGAAGCACAAGCACAAUUGGAUCUUUAACACGCCUGCUGAUGCUGAUGUCGCGAAGAAGUUGUACGCCUCGCCAUCUGAUUUUGCUGCGGAUGUGAGAUUGACCUUCAACAAUGCCAUUGCCGACCAGCUCUUGGCUCGAUUUGAGGACUUGUUUCGACCCAUAAACGAGAAUUUUGAUGAUUGUGAUCAUAAAGAACAGAUUGUUCCUGCUGAUGAAUUACAGGGGAGUUCAUGGAAUCACACUCCAACCCCAGAAAGAGCAAAGAAGCCUAAAGCAUAGGUGCACAGAGAGUCGAAAUGCCUGCUCUGUAGUUGUGGGUUUGGGGCGCGGUGGCUGGGUGUGGCAGGCUGUGGUGGUGGUUGGGUGUGGCACGAUGUGGUGGCGGUGAAGAAGAUGAUAGAGAGCGAAGGAAUACUUAGAUGGAUGAGGACAAUAAGUACACAGGGAAGGGGUCCUUGACUCCAAUUGGCAAAAUAGGGAAGCGUCAUGGCAAGGGCAAGAUCAGGAGGAAGCACAUUUAACUGUGUAUAAUUGGCAACGGUAUCACUGGCUUCAAUGUUGCAUUGUCUGCAAUGUUCUAUACGGUGAGACGUUACUUUAAAUAGUUGAGACAUUACUAUUGGAACAAGAGUUGUCAUUGACACUAAAUGCUAAUUAGUAGACUUUAUAGUAGAAACUUGUUUAUUUGAAUGAAAGUCGUUUUGCUAUAUUCAUGAACAAAUCAGUAUUUUUGUCGUGCUUAUUGACUGCUAAUCAUUGUUCAACCGGAUUAA